AAGAGCUUGCCACAUUGUGGGAAAUGAAAUGUUGUGUUAGACACAAGUUAUUUGAAAGGAGACAUUAGGUCAAAAAUGUAAAUAGGAAUUAAGAAAUUGUCUUCCAUAUCCAGGACGUAGCUCUGAAGAUGGUGAAGCCAGGAGGCAAAGUCUCAGUCCUGUCGUCUGGAUCUGCUCUUGAAGAAGUGGUAGCUCCAAGCCAACCUUCUCCUGCCAAAGGAAGUACGGGCUGAAAGGAACCCUGUGCUGGACGGACGGGACCUGGCUCACUGCCCUUCAUGCCUCCUAGCAGCUGUGCUGUUUCACCCUUUGAACUUCAGUUUCCUCAGGUGUAAAGUGGACACGCUGCUAUAUCUACCUCACAGGAUUAUAUUAUGGAAAAAAGCCCAUCUUCCAAACUGAACAGUGAUAAAGAAGGAGGAAGAAGGCGAACUGAAAAUUCCACCCUUCAUCUACAUUCAGAAAAGAAAGAACUGAGGCUCUCUCAGGUUUUCGAGGUUCAGCGACUUGACCAAGUCCUACUCACCCAACUAUACUGCUGAUUUUCAAACUAUGUUCCCCAGAAGCACUUUGGGGGUCACUGUGGUGGGGAGUAGAGAGAAGAACAGAGGACCAGAUCCACAAGGGACCACAGUGGGUAAGUGGGCUCCAGGGGAUUCUGUAAAAGAUUUCAUUUGGAAAGGGGGUUCUGGUACUUAAAAUAUGUUUGAAAAUCUCUACCUUUACCAUAGUGCCUCUUUAGAGAAGUUUAAAUAUUUUUUUAAAAAUACAAUCAUCUCUAAAUUGCAGGUAGUUUUUAAACCUUGAGCAGUAAAAAAGAAAUAAUUGUUUUUUUAUGUAGUUAACAUAUACAUGAAACAUAUAACAUGUAUGUGUAUAUAUAUACAUAUGUAAGUAUACAUAUAUGUGUGUGUGUGUGUGUGUGUAUGUUUCAUAUAGCUAACAAACAGAGGAAGAGGAAGUGAAACUUGGGUCUCCUGCUUUUGGAGCAAUCCAGUCUCCAGGCUGCCCACAUGGGUGACCCAAGGGGCAGCCACUCUAAAAUAAAUGCAUGAAUGCUUCAGCACAAACCUACUACCUAUUCAAAGUAUACAGGCUCCAGGCAGUGCGCAUGGCGGUCAAUAUUCAACACUGUCUCAGCAGACAGUACUGUGAAAUCUUCCUUUCAAUUCAAUGUCAUAGAUAUUGACAUGUAA